rnacentral:rRNA from 1 species
CGGAAGAUCUAGUGGCGAACGGGUGAGGAUCACGUGGGAAUCUGCCUUUUGGUUCGGAAUAACACGAGGAAACUUGUGCUAAUACCGGAUAAGCCCUCACGGGGAAAGUUUUAAUGCCAAAAGAUGAGCCCGCACUUGAUUAGCUAGUUGGUAAGGUAAUGGCUUACCAAGGCAACGAUCAAUAGCUGUUCUUAGAGGAAGACCAGCCACAUUAGGACUGAGACACGGCCCAAACUCC